rnacentral:rRNA from 1 species
AUUGAACGCUGGCGGCAUGCCUUACACAUGCAAGUCGAACGGUAACAGGUCUUCGGAUGCUGACGAGUGGCGAACGGGUGAGUAAUACAUCGGAACGUGCCUAGUAGUGGGGGAUAACUACUCGAAAGAGUGGCUAAUACCGCAUGAGAUCUACGGAUGAAAGCAGGGGAUCGCAAGACCUUGUGCUACUAGAGCGGCCGAUGGCAGAUUAGGUAGUUGGUGGGAUAAAAGCUUACCAAGCCGACGAUCUGUAGCUGGUCCGAGAGGACGAUCAGCCACACUGGGACUGAGACACGGCCCAGACUCCUACGGGAGGCAGCAGUGGGGAAUUUUGGACAAUGGGCGCAAGCCUGAUCCAGCAAUGCCGCGUGCAGGAUGAAGGCCUUCGGGUUGUAAACUGCUUUUGUACGGAACGAAAAGCCCUGGGUUAAUACCCUGGGGUCAUGACGGUACCGUAAGAAUAAGCACCGGCUAACUACGUGCCAGCAGCCGCAGUAAGAC